rnacentral:lncRNA from 1 species
UGAAGAAACGCAAGGUAUGCCGAGGCCUGGGCCUGGAAGUGGAGCAUCGUGUCCACUGUGUUUUAUUGGUUAAAGCCAAGUCAUAAGCAUAAGAGGAGUCCAGAUUCAAGGAGGGGGAAAGGGAUUCCACUUUUGGAUGAAGAAGCUGAAGAGUCACUUUGGAAAGGAUAUUGGCACAGCGAGGAGUGGUUGUCUUUGCAAUGUCCCCGAUCAUAUAAUUUACAUCAUAAGCUAGGUCACUUUUGAAAAUGAAAGGGAAUGCUUUUAAGAAUGACAUCAAGACAAUGAAUAUAAACCAGAACUGCCCAUUCUUCCUGACUCCCAACCCAAGCCUCCUUUUACUUCCCCCGUGCUGCCUUAUGACACUAAGAAGAAGCCACUGAAACUGGCAGAGGACAGACCUCAAAUCUGAAUCCAAGCCAAAGACCAGCGUGAAUGAUAUCCCUGGUGUCCAGAGAAGAAACCAAGCCCAGAGAAAUGACUCCAUUUAGUUCUCUCAAUAAUCCCACGAAGUAAGUGCUAUUAUCAUAAGUACUUGGCAGUCAGAUCUUCAUUGGAGUACAGAUCUUCCUUGACAUUCGAUGGAAUUAUGUCCAGGACUGCCAGUGCUCAAAACUGUGUUGGUACUCCUCGUUUGAAGAUGGAUGAACACACUGAAUAACCAUCUUUUUGUCUUGUCUUUUUGCAAGAGAAACUUGAAGUGUGAGACUGUUUUCUUGGAUGGGCCAAAAAAGGUCUUCCUUUUUCACCUUCCCCUUCUCACCUACCACCUACCUUGGUUUCCAAGAAGACUGCUCUGGACAGUGACUCUCAUUUGGGUGUUUAAUUUCUGUGUGUCCUUGGGAAAAAGCGCCAGCCUUCCCCUUACUAGGUAAAGACGUCUUAUCUAGAAGCAGAGGGGUCAUAACCUUACCUGAUGUCCUGUUCAGUUGUCUUGUUCUCCUUCAAAUUGCCCUCCCCCCUUUCUUGGCCUGCUUUAGCUGUGUGUACCUGUGAGAGCAGAGCCCUUUCUUGCUGGUGAAGCCCUCACAGACCACUCUUUUUCCCUAACAUCUGCGCUUAAGGAUUUGGUUGGAACAAUUAGCUCCCAAAGGACUUCUGUCCUGAGUAGACUGUCUCCUUGUUUCCUGGGUGUUUGUCUUCUCCACAGCCGACAAGAAGAUUCUAAACUCUGUGAGGGCUGCUGUGUCUCCCUCAACCAUGUCUCUACACAGGUCACAGACUCAACACUUUCUUACUGAUUCUUUCAGUUGUAUUCUUAAUCAUAUGAAUUAAA